ensembl:lncRNA
AGUGUUGGUAUGGCUCAGCAGUGCAGCACCAGCACACACUUGGGAUGUGCAAGGCCCUGGGUUCAACCCCAACGCACGGGAACACACGCACACCCCCCCGAAAAGAGAACCAAGGAAAAAGAAAAGAAAGCAAUUCCAUGAGAGGGCCAGGGAUUUAGCUCAGUGAUGAUGCCGCCGCCUGCCUUGAAAGCAAAAGGUCCCGAGUUCGAUCCCGGAUACCGAGAACAAAGAGAGAAUCUAUUUUAUGCGCGAGCAUCUGAGGCACAAAGGUGAAAAGCACUCCCCUAAAUUUGGUGAAAAGAUUCACGAUGGGCAGAGUGGGGGCCUGGGCUGCUGGCUCUGGUGUAAAGCUGGUCACGUCGCCGUCAAAGGGACCAGGCCACAGACUUCGCCGACAGACAGACGUGCAGACGAAAAAGGCCUCCCUGGGCGGCGAUCAGAAGCGCACUGCCCCACCGACGCCCGAGACCCCGAGAACUUCGGAAAGGGAGAAACCGGUGAAUGGGGGUGAGCGCCGCACUCGCACCCAGCUCCACGUUGUCAGCUGACAUCCAGGACCUGGGCCGCAGCCCCGGGUUGGGUGCGGAGUUCCAUCCCCGACGCAAACCAAACCAAACUGCCAGACCCUGUCAGAUCCCGCGCGGCCGCCGGGCCGGGCAGAGGAGGUCUUCAAAAGAUGCUCGUGGCCAUGCGCAGGGCCUCACAGCGAACACAGUCAUUAUGUAUUGCAAACAUGUACUAAUAACACUUUCAAACUAAAAAAAUGAAAUGUUAAAAGAAAAUGUUAGGCGCUCUAGGGUGCGGGUUAGCGCAGGGGUAACAGGGACGGACGACGUCACCUGACACGAUCAGUGUAUCUCACCCCAUCCUCCCCGCCGCACCCUAAUCCGUGACGAGUGACUCAAAGUCCUUUAGACUCAGAGGCCUAAAGCUGGGGAUCACAGUGGCACCGUGGGUUUCCAGGGGAAGAUUGGAGGGACGGGGGAAGCAGAACUCUCCAGCCGUCUCAGGCGCGGGGCAGGCGCUGCCGAGAACCAUGGCGACGCUUCAGGCACAAACAGGAUUUCCGUGUGUGAAGACAUUCACUACGAAGGUCGCCACUAAAACCUUAGUUUUAGGGCUAGAGAAUGGGAAGGACUCAACAGUCCAAAAUAGGAGACUGAUUAAAUAAAAUUUUCAAGGGAAAUGCAAAUCAAAACUACAACCAAGAGAAGUCACACACAUCUGUAAUCCGAGCACUCAGGAGGCUGAGUGGUAGGAUUACAGGUGUGCCACCACGCCCGGCACAAUCUUCAUAUUCUAGUGGCUGCGUUAGAGAUGGGUACAUGUUCUUUGGGAAGCAAUAUUUAGUGUCUAUGGAAAUCUUAAAAAGUACCUACUCUUUGGGCUGGGGAUUUAGCUCAGUGGUUCUGGCGCCUGCCUUGCAAGCACAAGGUCCCAAGUUCGAUCCCUGGUACCAAAAAAAGAGAAAAAAAAAUAUUUUAAUAGUCCAUAAAUUAAAAGAAGCAAUAUGAAGUAACUGAAAAAAUAUUUUUAAAUAUAGAAGAAUAUAAAGGAAAAACCUUUUUUAUUUUUUUCAUCUUUUGUUUGCUUUGGUUUUUGAGACAGAGUCUCACUAUGCAUUCAGGCUGGCCCCAAACUCACAGCGAUCCUCCUGCCUCAGUCUCCUGAGUGCUGGGAUUACAGGUAUGCACCACCACACCUGGCUCAUUUUUUUCAUCUUUAAUAAGACAGUCACAUUUACCAAUUUGGGGCUGUGGUGGCGAACUUAUGGCACAUGUCCCACAGUGGGAUGUUUGUUAUGACUGAAAGCUCUAAAAGGUUCACCAUCACUGGUUUAGGGUAUAUUUUUUCCACACUUUUUGAUCUUUUGUUUAGAUUUUUUUUUAAAUUUUUUAAAUUUUAAUUUUAAUUUUUUUUUGGUACUGGGGAUUGAACUUGGGUCCUUGUGCUUGUGCAGCAGGUGGCAAAAUCACUGAGAUAAAUCCCCGGCCCUUAGAUUUAUUUUAUUUUAUUUUUUGGUACUGGGGAUCAAACUUGGGACCUUGCACUUGGGAGGCAGGCGCCUGAACCACUGAGCUAAAUCCCCGGCCCUAGAUUUUUUUUAAUACAAAAUGGAAUUGUAUUAUAAUUUUUGUGGGUGUGCUGGAAAUUAAACCCAGAGUCUUUGCACUGUGCUACAUCCACAGCCCUUUUUUUUUUUUUUUGGUACUGGGGAUUGAACUCAGGACCUUGUGCUUGCAAGGCAGGCACAGUGCCACUGAGCCUAAUCCCCAGGCCCCUUUCUUAUUUUUUAUUUGGAGACCCUGCUAAGUAAGUCACUAAGUUGCCCAGGCUGGAGUCCAACUUGCAAUCCUCCUGCCUCAGUCUUCCACAGUGCUGGCAUUACAGGUGCGCACCACUACAUCUGGCCAUCAUACAUGAUGUCAGUGCUAACUACAUACCUAUGGGAUCAUUUGUUUCUAAAACUGGAAAUAGGGCCUGAGAUUUAGCUCAGUGGUUCUACCACCUGCCUCACAAGCAGAAGGUCCUGAGUUUGAUCCCCGGUACCAAAAAAAUCCCCUGGAAAUAAUUGUACUUUUUUUGAUUGUACAAAUGUGAUUCAUGAAAAAUUUUGUUUUGCUUUUUUUGAGACAAGGUCUUGCUAUGUAGUCCAGGCUGGCCUUGAACUCACUAUGUAGUCUAGCCUGGCCCUGAACUUGUGGCAAUCCUCCUCCCUCAGCCUCCUGAAUGCUGGGAUUACAACUGUGAGCCACACAUCCAGCCCAUCUCCAGACCUUUUAAAAUUUUUUUUAGCAAGUACUCACUAAGUUGCCUAUGCCAACCUCAAAUUUGUGAUUCUCAUGCUUUAGCCUCUCAAACCACUGGCAUUGCAUGACUGUGCCAUCACACCCAGUUAGACCUGGGUAUGUUAGGCACAG